AGGGUCUUCCUGCUCGGCCCAUGAAACAAUGGCGUGGGAUGAAACUAUGGGCUGGCUUCAGAAGUCACUCACUCCGGGACACCCACAUCCACUCAUCAGUGUGUCAUUUAAAGCAGGACGGUUGGACACAGCUGGCUUGUUAGCCCAAGGGGAGGUCUUUGCCUUUGCCCAAGCUUUGAGUUUCCAGCUACUGCGAAAAGCAAAAACGAAGGGAAAUGCGCCCAUUGCGUCUGUUCUGCCAAUACCGCUCCGCUGCCCCUCUUCCUUUCAGCUGCUUCCUGGCCGGAACUUCUUUCAGAACUCACGCGACAUCCUCCAGCCUAGCGCUUAACAAUCCGCCCCUUCAUUAGCUCCUGAAGUGCCGCUUUGAGCAGCUUCGCUGAUAGGCGACGGCAAUAAAAAAGCGUAAUUCUCCCGAGGAGGCUUCUUUAGAUUGGGAACGACGGGCCAUUACCUCUAAGGUGUUCAGGCAGACUGAGCGUUUCUUCCCUUCACAGCCAUUAUGGGAAUGGAGUGUCGAAAAUAGUUCCUCGCCCGCCCGGCUUUGCUGCAUGGGCUCUGCGCCCCUUGGAAAGCCGACAACGGGGCAGCUCUGCGUUCUCCUCCGAACACUGGAUUUCGGGGACUCACCGGGCUCCUUCCCGUUCCAUGGAGCUGGGCGCUGCUCUGCGGGGAUGGCGGUGUACAGGUUAAGUGGGCUCUUGAAAGAAUCAUGGACGGGUAACGUCAGUGCUCGUGCAUCGACUGCACUGCCUGUAGAGGCCAUACACUGCCAUCUUGAUGCACCU